UGGAUCCAGACUUUGAUCAUGGCUCAGGAUGAACGCUGGCGGCGUGCUUAACACAUGCAAGUCGAACGAAGCACUUUAUUUGAUUUCCUUCGGGACUGAUUAUUUUGUGACUGAGUGGCGGACGGGUGAGUAACGCGUGGGUAACCUGCCUUGUACAGGGGGAUAACAGUUGGAAACGGCUGCUAAUACCGCAUAAGCGCACGGCAUCGCAUGAUGCAGUGUGAAAAACUCCGGUGGUAUAAGAUGGACCCGCGUUGGAUUAGCUAGUUGGUGAGGUAACGGCCCACCAAGGCGACGAUCCAUAGCCGACCUGAGAGGGUGACCGGCCACAUUGGGACUGAGACACGGCCCAAACUCCUACGGGAGGCAGCAGUGGGGAAUAUUGCACAAUGGGCGAAAGCCUGAUGCAGCGACGCCGCGUGAGCGAAGAAGUAUUUCGGUAUGUAAAGCUCUAUCAGCAGGGAAGAUAAUGACGGUACCUGACUAAGAAGCACCGGCUAAAUACGUGCCAGCAGCCGCGGUAAUACGUAUGGUGCAAGCGUUAUCCGGAUUUACUGGGUGUAAAGGGAGCGCAGGCGGUGCGGCAAGUCUGAUGUGAAAGCCCGGGGCUCAACCCCGGUACUGCAUUGGAAACUGUCGUACUAGAGUGUCGGAGGGGUAAGCGGAAUUCCUAGUGUAGCGGUGAAAUGCGUAGAUAUUAG
rnacentral:rRNA from 1 species